rnacentral:rRNA from 1 species
ACUGCUCAGUAACACGUGGACAACCUGCCCAAAGGUCCGGGAUAACCCCGGGAAACUGGGGAUAAUACCGGAUAGGUCACAAGUACUGGAAGGUUUUGUGGUUGAAACUUCCGGGGCCUUUGGAUGGGUCUGCGGCGGAUUAGGUUGUUGCCGGUGUAACGUACCGUCAAGCCUGUAAUCCGUACGGGUUGUGGGAGCAAGAGCCCGGAGAUGGAUUCUGAGACACGAAUCCAGGCCCUACGGGGCGCAGCAGGCGCGAAAACUCUACAAUGCAGGCAACUGCGAUAGGGGAACAUCGAGUGCUCAUCAUAUUGGUGGGCUGUCCCACCGUCUAAAAAACGGUGGUUAGCAAGGGCCGGGCAAGACCGGUGCCAGCCGCCGCGGUAAUACCGGCGGCUCGAGUGGUGGCCGAUAUUAUUGAGUCUAAAGGGUCCGUAGCCGGCUUUGCAAGUCUUUUGGGAAAUCCAGCGGCUUAACCGUUGGGCGUCCGGGAGAUACUACAUUGCUUGGGACUGGGAGAGGCGUGAGGUACUCAGGGGGUAGGAGUGAAAUCCUGUAAUCCUUUGGGGACCACCGGUGGCGAAGGCGUCACGCCAGAACAGGUCCGACGGUGAGGGACGAAAGCUAGGGGCACGAACCGGAUUAGAUACCCGGGUAGCCCUAGCCGUAAACGAUGCUCGCUAGGUGUCACAACAAUCGUGAAUUGUUGUGGUGCCGUAGGGAAGCCGUGAAGCGAGCCACUUGGGAAGUACGACCGCAAGGUUGAAACUUAAAGGAAUUGGCGGGGGAGCAC